UCCUACGGGAGGCAGCAGUAGGGAAUCUUCCACAAUGGACGAAAGUCUGAUGGAGCAACGCCGCGUGAGUGAAGAAGGUUUUCGGAUCGUAAAACUCUGUUGUAAGGGAAGAACACGUACGAGAGUAACUGCUCGUACCUUGACGGUACCUUAUUAGAAAGCCACGGCUAACUACGUGCCAGCAGCCGCGGUAAU
rnacentral:rRNA from 1 species